GGCGAGGGAGCUCAGACAGGUGCCGGAGGGAAGAUGGGAGAAGCAGGUGGAUGGGGAGUAGGUUUCAAGCUGAGCCGACACGUGCUUACACUGGGCGUGGGGAGAGAGGAAGCCAGGACGCACGCCCUGGGGCGUGUGAGCCGGGCACCCGGUGCCCCCUGGUGCCGCUUGCUGCACUGGACGAGGCUGGGGAUCAGGGUCAGGUUAGAGAUGCCUUUUCGCCAUCCCAGCGGAGAAGUGGAGUAGGCAGGACAGUAGGCAUCUGGAGCCCGGGAGAAAAGACAGGUCCCAGUCCUCCAACGUGAGUAGCUGCUGGAGCAGCCAGAGACUUCCCCGGGGGGCACUGGGGAGGCAGGCACAGCCCUGGCACCGGCAGCCAGCGUUUGCAGAAAGAGGAAGUGAUGGACCAACGCUCUGAAAGGCUGAGGCAGCGCUGAGGAUAGACAGACGGGGCCCGGCGCAUGCAGAGCGUGCAGCUGGUGACUCUGCAAGAGAACACAGUGUCUGCCGAGCUCCGUAAUUCUCACCCGAGCGUGGCUGCUCGGCCGGCCGGACGGCACUUGUUUGAGAGCUGAGAGGCAGUCUGACCCGCAGAGCAGAAGAGGCCGAGAAAGUUCUGAACAGGACCACAAAUGCCAAAGUGCGGUGCCAACAGCGGGCCAGCAGGAGAUCUGUCCAGAGAUGCUCUCGGCUCAGGACAGGCACGUAGGCUCCCAGCCGGGGAGGGACCGCCCCAGGGAGACACCAAACCCAGAGCCACGAGGGCACCAGGGAGCCUGGCACGCGUCACCACACGAAAUGAAAAGCUUCUGUUCGACAAAGACACCAUAAACAGAAUUAAGAGAUUAAAAACAGGCUCGGGGAGAAAACAGGCGGGAAAAAUACUUGCCGUACAUGGCGAGCAAUACCCAACACUCACUACGUAAUAACGGUCAUACCAGGAGCCCUAAAAAUAGAGAAGGCAAACAAUCCAGGCAAAGGGUGGAUGCACGGUCAGCGCUUCGGGACCUGGCAGGGUAUCCGUAAGAAGGAGGGGAAACUUGACUUUAGCAGAAAGUCAUGUAAAAAAAGCAAUGACGAUACAAACAUUUACUUAUCUGAUUGAAAAAAGUUGAUAAUGCUCCGUCUUGGCACCAUUAUGCGGAAAUGAGUGCUCUCCCACACUGCUGGCGAAGGAGGAAGAGCCCGUACUCAUCUGAAACAGUUUCGUUUUGUAUCAGUGACUCCCCGAUGUUAGCCCUUAAAUGUUAACAUUAGAACUUCAAUAUACAAAUGUCCGAUACAGUGCUCCCACUUUUGAAAAUUCAGCCCCCAGCAGCACUCAUGGCUGUUCAGAAGGUGCUAAGGAUAAGCGUGACAGCAAAAAUAACAGCCGUGGAGUAGGAAUUUCCAUGCGUAGAAGAGUGAUUAAAAAGUAGGAGUUCCCGCCGUGGCUCAGCAGAAACAAAUCUGACUAGCAUCCAUGAGGAUGCAGGUUCAAUCCCUGGACUCGCUCAGUGGGUGAAGGAUCUGGCGUUGCUGUGGCUGUGGCGUAGGCCGGCGGCUGUAGUCCAAUUCGACCCCCAGCCUGGGAACCUCCAUGUGCCACAGGUGCGGCCCUAAAAAGACCAAAAAGAAAAAAAAGAAGGAAACUGUGUGACCAGUAGCGUGGCAGACGGGCGUCUGUGAGAAAGGCUGGGGUAACUGUGUUCUCAGGAAGAUGUCCAGGAGGCAGCUGCUGAAAACAGGUUUCUUGACCGUGGCGGGGGUGGGUCUCCUUUGAUUUUUAACCAUCGGCGUAUGUGUGUAUAUGCAUAUGCCCCACUCACUAAUCCGGGCUCCGUACCCACUUCCCGAUGUAACAGGACCAUCCGCAGCCUCUUGGAUGGUCUGUAACAGCUGGCUCCGUGUUUGCGUGAGCACAGAACAAUGUCUGGGGCAGCACUCGAACCCGUGACAAGCGACAGGACUAAGGAGGUUGCGGACGGCACUUUCACUGCUUUAAACACGUCUGUGAGUUGACAUCUGUACUGUGGGCACAUAGCAUCUUCGCCGUAUGUGAAAACACACCAACAACACACGCACCGGACCUGGCCGUGGCCACACCACCUGAGCGGCUGGAAGGCCAAUUUUACGUUUCCACCCUGGACCACCUUUAUUCUUAAGGGGGCAGCAGUUCUUCUGUUGUGUCUUCGUCUUCCCCAGCGUCUGUGCUCUCACCCCAGAUGCCGGGCAGAACAGGGCCGGGUGGAGCCAAGUGGAGGCAGGAGCAGGUGCAGGUUGCCCCCUGCGCUCUGUGGCAGGGGCAGAGUUCAGAGUUCUGUCCGGAGGUCAGAGAGGGGAGGGGCCUUAGAGGUCAGUGGAUCAGCCCUCUCCUUUCGUCACUGAGGAAACGAAGGUCCAGAGAAGUAGUGACGGUCCCGUCCUGCAGGGAGAGCUGGCCCUGCCCUGGAGACUGGGCUUUGGUCCCAGCCGCCUUCUCUCCCACGGGGUCUUUCUGAACAGAUGAGCCAAGAACUAAGACCCCCUUGUCCUAAACAGCUGCGAAGCUCUGGGCUCUGUCAGAUGCUUUGCUGCGAGGCCUGGAAGGGCUGCCUAUCAGUGGGGCAUGUGCAGCGUCAGUGAACAGACAGUCCAGAGGGAGCUGUUCUUGGAGUUGGUUGUGAUGCUCAAAGCUGUAGCCAGGGACACCAGCCCUUUCCUUCAUCUUUCCUCUGUCACCUUCGGGGUGUUGGUUUUCACAUCGAGCUGUCACCUCAUGGCCGCAAGGCGGCUGCCAUAGCUCUAGAGAUGAGUUUUCCCACAGCAGUGGCCAAGGCAGGAGGGGAAGGAGGAGGUCCGACGGCACUGCGCACUUGCCCUUCCGUCCUGUGGGCCAGCGUCCUCACGCGCCAUCCCUUGGACCCAUCACUGGCAAAGAGGAGAGGAGCAUCUGAUUGGCUUAGACCACGCGUGACUCAUCCUCCCGCCUGUGCUUGUCACUGCCACCACCCGGGGUCAGUUAGCAACCCAGAAAGGGGGUUACUGUCGGGAACAGUGAAGGAACAGCUACAAACAGGGCAUGAAGAGCGCAGGUGCACGGUGGAGAAGCCAGUUACGGAUUCUAGAGUUUCCCGACGGCUCCCACAGCCUCCUCAGAUGACGUGUGUUCUGCAAAGCACACAGGUGCCAAAUGGCAUUUCCCCCCACCCCCAGGGUCUCUGAAAACAGCGACAGCAACACGUGCCUCAUUUCAAAUAAAGGAGCCACGGAAGUCCCCAGAGACAGGGCGCAGGCGUGAGCUUGGCGCUGGGUGGAAAAGAGAAGCAGCGUCCCCGAAAGCACCGGGGCUCCCAGGUGGCAGGAGAGGAGGGUGCCCGUCAGCUUCAGCCGGUCCUCCCUCUGCUGACAGGACAGCAGCCAGGACGCAGGGCACAAAGGAGCAGAAGUCUGCCGUCUUGGCGCCACAGACACAAAAGGGACGAGGGGAGAAGUGCGGCGUCUAGUGCUUCAACCCCCUGCCUUCCCUAAAGGCCGGAGCCUGCAUCACCCCUCCCCCAGCAGCUCUCCGUCCUGCUCCAGAAGCCCCGCCAGCACCUGAGAGCCGACACCCUUAAAGGCCCUCAACGGAUAGAAACGGCAAGACAAGAGAGACUUCAGAGCGGCCUCCGUACCAGGGAUCCGCAGGCAGAGCUGUCCCUGCGUCACAUACAGUGUGGGCAUUGCCAGGGCACCUGGAGCCCAAACAGACCUGCUUUAAGACCCGCUCUGCCCUUGACCAGCUGUGCUGGUGGCUCUGGGAAGUCCUCCAGGCACUCAGCCUUGGCCACUAACCCCUCUACCACUCGAAUUCUGUGCCCGUUGAGAAAAUUGGAUCCUCUCUUUAUCGUUGAGUUUCCAUAUACUAGACCCUUAGAGUUAUCAGAGUUCUGUCUGUAUUCCGUGUACUAGACCCUUAGUUAUCAGAGUUCUGUCUGUAUCCCGUGUACACUAGACCCUUAGAGUCAUCAGAGUUCUGUCUGUAUUCCGUACACUAGACCCUUAGUUAUCAGAGUUCUGUCUGUAUUCCGUGUACACUAGACCCUUAGAGUCAUCAGAGUUCUGUCUGUAUUCUGUGCACUAGACCCUUAGAGUCAUCAGAGUUCUGUCUGUAUUCCGUGUACUAGACGCUUAUCAGAUAUAUGAUUUGCAAGUGUUUUCUCCCAUUCUCUGGACUGUCUUUUCGUUCUCUUGAUGGUGCCCUCUGAUGUACAACGGUUUUAAAUUUUGA